CCCAAGCCGUUCUAUGAUUCUAUGAUACCGUGACAGGGGAGUAGAAAGAUGCAAAAUGGAAUACAAAAAGAGACAUUAAGGUACAUUGGGCUUUCUUCCAGACUGAGACCUGGCUGCAUAUCUAGAUCCAAAUUCAAGUAUCUGCCUGUAAUCCACUUGCUGGAUAUGGAAGUCAAUUUAUACAAGACCUGUGGCUGCACCAAAGAGUUGAGAUUAAACUACACAGCAGUGCGAAUAUUUGGUAUCCGGGUCUGUAACUGCUAUUUCAAAAGAAAGAGGUAACACUUAUAAUAAAAAUACAUCUAAUACUUAAUAGGAUUAAUGUACGUCUACUGCUUUUGAUAAUUAAAAUUUUAAUGCGGUAUUUUAAUGUAUAUUCUUUAUUAUUUUCAAGAAAAAUAGUCCCAGCAUUUACCAAAGCAUGUUAGGCUCAUUCUUCUUGAAAUGUGAUAUUUGGAAACACUGGUGAAACAGCUUUCAAAAAUAUUAAAGGUAGAAAGUAAUGAACACAGAAUUAUUCUACCACAAUCCAUUUCAGACAAAAUAUGACAGUGUUCCUUCUAUUACCUCUUUUACUUGCAACUCCAGACAAAGAUCUUCAUUUAUUAUACUCUAUUAUCCUUAUGUGGCUGGUUAAUUGAAAAGGUUACUGAUAGAAAUAAUCCAUUAGAAGCUCUGUAUCUCAUCUACUUUUCAGUCAAACAAAAAGUAUAUUGACAUAUACGUAGUAUCAAAAUUAGGCUCCCAGGUUAUAUACUGUAUCUUUUAAUUUAUUACAAGAAAUCUUCAAGAAAUAACUUCUUAGUAACUCUUCAAACAGUAAACAUUUCUUGUGAGAAGUCCAUAGCUUCUUCAUAUUGGAGAACUGAUAUUUAAACAGAAGCACCCUGUUUGGUUUUGAGGUUUUUUUGUUUGUUUGACUUUUUUCUCCCUGAAAGAUGAUCUGAAAUGUAAAUCCUUAGUCAUUCCAUGCUUGAUGAGAGACAUCAAAUGCCUGUGGAAAUACAGCUGCAAGCUGUAUAUGCCAGCUAUUUCACUCCUCUCCUUCCUAGGUGCCCACAGAGGCAAGGAGAAAAAGCACAGCUAUUGUAACAGUAGGAAAGUUGACUCAGUGCAAAAAAUUUAGUAAUAAUAGUUCCUAUGAAACAGUUAGCUAGAAUUUGACAAGUUAGUUAGAAAUUGACAAGUAAUUCAGGAACAAUAAAGUGAUCUCAUUUUUGCUAUAAAUGAUGACAAAAUGAGCAUCUCAUCUGCUACACUUCCAUAUCAAGAAUUCUGUAGUGUUCUAAAAUUUAUGAGAAUAAGUGUCCAUAGUACUUUUUUUUCCAGAACUACGUGACAUUUUAUCCAGUGACUUUUCAAUUAUUCGAAAAAUCAGGGAUGAAACUCUGCAUUUC
rnacentral:lncRNA from 1 species